GAUGGUGCUUGCACUAUCACUUAGCGGCGGACGGGUGAGUAAUGCUUAGGAAUCUGCCUAUUAGUGGGGGACAACAUCUCGAAAGGGAAGCUAAUACCGCAUACGUCCUACGGGAGAAAGCAGGGGAUCACUUGUGACCUUGCGCUAAUAGAUGAGCCUAAGUCGGAUUAGCUAGUUGGUGGGGUAAAGGCCUACCAAGGCGACGAUCUGUAGCGGGUCUGAGAGGAUGAUCCGCCACACUGGGACUGAGACACGGCCCAGACUCCUACGGGAGGCAGCAGUGGGGAAUAUUGGACAAUGGGGGGAACCCUGAUCCAGCCAUGCCGCGUGUGUGAAGAAGGCCUUAUGGUUGUAAAGCACUUUAAGCGAGGAGGAGGCUCUUUUGGUUAAUACCCAGAAUGAGUGGACGUUACUCGCAGAAUAAGCACCGGCUAACUCUGUGCCAGCAGCCGCGGUAAUACAGAGGGUGCAAGCGUUAAUCGGAUUUACUGGGCGUAAAGCGCGCGUAGGCGGCCAAUUAAGUCAAAUGUGAAAUCCCCGAGCUUAACUUGGGAAUUGCAUUCGAUACUGGUUGGCUAGAGUGUGGGAGAGGAUGGUAGAAUUCCAGGUGUAGCGGUGAAAUGCGUAGAGAUCUGGAGGAAUACCGAUGGCGAAGGCAGCCAUCUGGCCUAACACUGACGCUGAGGUGCGAAAGCAUGGGGAGCAAACAGGAUUAGAUACCCUGGUAGUCCAUGCCGUAAACGAUGUCUACUAGCCGUUGGGGCCUUUGAGGCUUUAGUGGCGCAGCUAACGCGAUAAGUAGACCGCCUGGGGAGUACGGUCGCAAGACUAAAACUCAAAUGAAUUGACGGGGGCCCGCACAAGCGGUGGAGCAUGUGGUUUAAUUCGAUGCAACGCGAAGAACCUUACCUGGUCUUGACAUAGU
rnacentral:rRNA from 1 species